GAUGAACGCUGGCGGCGUGCCUAAUACAUGCCAGUCGAGCGAACAGACGAGGAGCUUGCUCCUCUGACGUUAGCGGCGGACGGGUGAGUAACACGUGGAUAACCUACCUAUAAGACUGGGAUAACUUCGGGAAACCGGAGCUAAUACCGGAUAAUAUAUUGAACCGCAUGGUUCAAUAGUGAAAGACGGUUUUGCUGUCACUUAUAGAUGGAUCCGCGCCGCAUUAGCUAGUUGGUAAGGUAACGGCUUACCAAGGCAACGAUGCGUAGCCGAUCUGAGAGGGUGAUCGGCCACACUGGAACUGAGACACGGUCCAGACUCCUACGGGAGGCAGCAGUAGGGAAUCUUCCGCAAUGGGCGAAAGCCUGACGGAGCAACGCCGCGUGAGUGAUGAAGGUCUUCGGAUCGUAAAACUCUGUUAUUAGGGAAGAACAAAUGUGUAAGUAACUAUGCACGUCUUGACGGUACCUAAUCAGAAAGCCACGGCUAACUACGUG
rnacentral:rRNA from 1 species